GCUCUGCCUCCACUUGGGAGCUCCAGAGGAAGCUCACCAACUUGGCCUUGACCACUGCUGGAUCGGGCGCUGUCUCAUCCAGCUUCUCCCUGAUCACUCCUGAAUCGGGUGUUGCCCAGGUAAACUACAUGUAAAGAGUUUUGAUGUGAAACAUCUGGUUAGAAGCCUCACUUUUUUGUUAGGGUUUGGUUUACUUCUUUAUCAAUGCAGGCUGGUGAGAGUUAGUAGUGUGUUUAUUGCAGUUUAUUUCCAUUACGAGAUAUCUUUGAUCGUACGUAGCGUCUAUGCAUUGCUUGUAUACGUUUUCGCUUUCGUGUCCUUCUUGUUUGUGUGUCGUGACGAUAGCUCGACCUUUAUAAUUUGUAGCUAUUUUUGGUAUCGAAUACGCGGAGCCUAGUUUCCACCGAAUGGAUUAUUAAUUUGAUUAUUAUGUUUCGAAUGAUUUAGGUUAUUGUUGGUGGAGGUGGUGGCGGUUUCUCUGCGGGAGCUGCCCCUGCCGCUUCGGGAGGUGCCGCUGCACCCGCUGCUGAGGAGAAGAAGGAAGAGAAGGUGGAAGAGAAGGAGGAGAGUGACGAUGAUAUGGGAUUCUCUCUCUUUGACUAGACUUUGUCUCGCCAUUAUCUGUACGCUUUAUAGGAAAGGCAGGCUGUGCCACUAGUUAAUAUGAUCACUCGAGUAAUACGAUGGCCUUCACAAAGUCAAAAUGGAAUUUAGAAUACUUCCCUUCCAGUUUCUACUUGCAGAUGAAUUCUUUUCUUGCAGUGUGUAUUGACCUUGACGUCAUUACUGUAAGGUUAUUCACGCAAAUAACUCGUGAUGUUAUUAAUCGUUUUUCGAGGUCCCUUAAAAGAACUAAAAAUGGCUUUCAGCUGCGACUCUAGAUCAAAUGUGAUGCAUUCAUAUAUUUCAUAACUCAUCAUUUCAUCUGUGACCCAAGGAAGAAGACCCCCAUCAAUAACUUAACCAGAAUGAUUCUAUGAAAUCAAACCGUAUUGAUCAAGUCAAAGCUCACUUCCAGAGCAGGUCUUCUUACCUUAGCUACCUUGUGAUCUAUGAAACUAGCACGAGGUGAACUAGAACGACCUGCAAGAAUAGCGUAACUUUUCUCUUCCAUAUCACGUACUACAUAGAUUCUAAGCAUUCAACACAUGACUACGUAUCGGAGACCACGCCGGGAGGAUCGCUGUUUAGUUGUAAAUGAUUCAAAUUUCUAUUCUACCCAUGGUUAACAAAUGCACAACAUUGAAGCAGUAGUACUGCAAGUUAUAAAUCUUGAAUGUGUUGAAAUAUGUCAAGCUUUGUAAUGUACAUGUUUUUCUAGGUCUUGUAUGAUUGCAAUAGAGAAUAGAUGAAAAAAAUAUCUCAAUACAAAUAAAAUUACGUAAAAGGAAGUGGAUGAGUAUAAUAAAAACUUGAUUUUGUAUUUAAACUAAAAUUUGACAUUUUUCAUAAGAAAAAAAUAAAAAAAUAAAAAAAUAUAUUGCUAUGGCUAAUUAAUAUUAUUUGUUGUAAAAAAAAAAUAUAUGUAUAUAUAUUAGAAGUUAUUGGUCAUUAGAGACGUGCCAAAAAAGAAGGUAUAUAUAUAUAUAUAUUAGAGGUAGGAUAUUGUCACGGACACAGAAAUACAGGCUCGAGAUCUAACAAGAAGUUCAAGAAGAACUAACAAGAACUAGAUUAAUCAGAUGAAUACAAGAACAACACUAGAGAGGUGAACUAGAGCUCCAAGAGAUGUGUUGUCGAGACUAAAGAACUCUUCAGCCUCGAUUCCAAUAUAUACUCCUAUUUAGGAAGCUUCUCAAGCAACUUCUACCAACUAGGAAGCUUCUAGAAGGUUCUAGAGACUUGCUUUUAGAAGGUUCUAGAAACUUAUCUCUAGAAGGUUCUAAGGACUAUGUCCCUAACAUCUUCUACCACUAAGAAGCUUCUAGAAGGUUCUAGAGACUUGCUUCUAGAAGGUUCUAGAAACUUGUCUCUAGAAGGUUCUAAGGACUAUGUCCCUAACAUCACCCCCUCCUUUAGCUUCGAGGUCUCUGAGAAGCAAUGUUGUUAUUAAUCAGUACCAACGCAAGAAAAUGAAGAUCUGUCGCAUAACGUCUACUAUGAACUCCAACUGCUGUUCACGAGGCAAGUCGUUCAUCGGCCCUUGAAGCCAACGGUAGUAGCCCACUCCUUCAACUUCUGACCAAGUAUGAACUUCCGUGUCAUCAUUGUGAAAUUGUCCUCCAAAUACGCCUUUUGGCUGACCAUCGUAAGCAGGCUCGAACUCGAAUACAAUCACCAGUGAUCAGUUACUCGAUAUCCUCCGUCGUCAUCAUGGUGAAGGCGGUUCUUCAUCUCGGGGUCGCCUUCGUGAGUUAGUCGGUUGAGAUAAUUUGACUGGCAUAGUAUCUAUCUCUUGGCUAUCCAUAUCAGAAGACCAAACUAUGGCUACUGAAAAAAUUCUACUUUAUCUUGGAGAAAAUAACUACAUUAAUUGCGAAUUUUGGUGGUGCUCUCCCCCUUUCUUAUAUUCUUGGAUGAGCAAACUUUAGAAAGAAGCUAUCGUCGAACCGGCUUAGGUUUAUGAAGAUGUUGUUGAUGAAACUCCCGUACCUUUUGCGGCGUAUUGGCAAGAUUUUCAGCUGGCUCCCAUGUUCGCUCAUCAAUGUCGUAGCCGCACCAAUGAACAAGAUACUCCAACUUGCCCCACCUUCGCCGUAAAUCCAGCACCUUUUCAACCUCGUAUUCUUCGUGGUUCUCGAUCUCAAUACUAGGUGGUGGACAUUGCACUCUUCCAGGAAAAGACGACUCUCGAUAAGGCUCCAACAGAGAAACAUGAAAGACUGGAUGUACCUUCAAAGAAGCCGGUAAUUCUAGACGGUACGCCACUGGAUUGAUUUGCUUCUGGAUGAUAAAUGGUCCCAAUCUUCGAUAGUCCAACUUAUCACAUGGUCGCUUGGUUUUGAUAUUCUGUCGAAGAAGCCAUGCUUUAUCUCCAAUUUUGAAAGUAGGUGCUUGAUUCCGAAAUCUAUCUACAGACGCCUUGUAGGAUUCUUGAGCAGAUUGUAAUUGAAGCUUCAACGUAUUUUGAAGCUCUGAUAGUUGUUUCGCAAAUCCUUCAGCUGCUGGAUUGUUAUUUGUUGACGGAUUCAAUAAAUCAAGCUUCGGAUGAUACCCAUAGUUGGAAAAGAAUGGUGUGUAUUGAGUCGACGCAUGGAGGGUGUUGUUAUAUGUAAACUCGGCUAGCGACAGAUAUAAGGUCCAAUUGUCUUGCUGAUAGUUGAUGUUACAUCGUAAGUAUUGUUCCAAGACUUAGUUCACCCGUUCUGUUUGGCCGUCAGUUUGAGGAUGAAAAGCUGAAGAAAGCUUGAUAUCCACCUUCAGUAUCUCAAAGAGAGAUCUCCAAAACUUUGAUAUGAACUGGGUUCCUCGAUCUGAUACGAUAUCAUCUAGUAGUCUAUGAUAUCAAUACACAUUAUCGAGAAAGAGCCUUGGUGUGACUUCACUGGACGAUGUCUUCUUGCAAGGGACAAAGUAUGCCAUCUUUGUAAGCCGAUCUACCACGACAAAGAUGCUGUCAAAUGAGUUCGAUGAUGGCAGGUCCGUGAUGAAGUCCAUGGAAAUUGAAGACCAUGGUCGACGUGGAAUCGACAAUGGCUGUAGGAGUCCAUAAGGGCAAUGCCGAGGAUUCUUGGAUCUUGAACAGAUGUCGCAAGAGAGGACAAAAUCUUUCACAUCCUUCCACAUUUGGGGCCACCAAAAAUCUUGAGAAAUAAGCUCCAAGGUCUUGUUGAAUCCAAAAUGUCCCGCAGCUGGAAAAUCGUGGCGAGAUUGAAGAACUCGGAGUCGUGCUGGUCCUUUUGGGAUAUAUAACCGCUCUUCAAAGUAUAAAAGAUCUCUCUCCACCUUGAACUUGUCGUCAUUGGCACGCUGCUUAAUAUCAAUGGCUACUGAAUCUUCAAUGGUUACGGCACGUACCUGAUUCAAGAAGUCAGCAUCAAUUGGCAUAAUAGUAGCGCAAAGCUGAAAUUACUCUGGCUUCAACAAUGUCGUACAUUGUUGAUCAAAUGCUGCUUCUCUAGCCUUUGGUACAAGAUACGAUCUCCUCGAUAAGGCAUCAGAUAGUCCUUGCUGCUUUCCACGUCGAUAAGUGAUAACAAAAUCGAACCUAGAUAGCAACAUACCCCACCGAGCUUGACGUCGAUUUAGAACUCGAGCCGACAUGAAAUAUUCCAAAUUCUUGUGAUCUGUGUAUACGGUCACUGGAUGUGCAGCUCCUUUAAGAAAAUGAUGCCAUUCUUGGAAAGAAUCCACUAUAGCAAGAAGUUCCUCAUCGUGGAUCUCAUAAUUUAUUUCAGCAGCAGAGAACUUUCGAGAAUAGAAUGCAACUGGAUGGAGCUUCUUGUCUUCUCCCAUUUGUAAAAGUACAGCUCCCAAAGCAAAAUCCGAAGAAUCAGUUUCCAAAUAAAAGGCCUUUGUAAAGUCUGGAUGUACCAAGAUUGGAGCCGUAGUAAAUGCGGUCUUCAGGUCUUGAAACGCCUUGUCCGCUAGAGGUCCCCAUUCCAGCUUAUCCUUGCAUAUCAACCGAGUGAGAGGAGCAGCAACUUGAGAGUAAUUCUUGAUGAAGUUUCGAUAGAAGUUGACAAAACCAAGAAAGCAUUGUACAUCUCUAACCGUCUUCGGAACCUCCUAGGACACGAUUGCUUCUACUUUCUUGAGGUCCAUCUUCAAGCCUUCCGUAGUCGCAACGAACCCCAGAAACUCAAUCUCUAUUUGGUAAAAUAAACACUUCUCCAACUUGGCAUGUAGUCCUCGCUCGCAUAGUUUCUCUAAGACCAAACGAACAUGCUUUCCAUGCUCUUCCUCGUUUUUGGAGAAUAUCAAAAUAUCAUCAAAGUAGAUGAAAACAAAAUCGUUAAGGUGCUCUCGGAAAAUGUCAUUCAUCAUAUGUUGAAAGACCGCUGGAGCAUUGGUAAGACCAAAGGGCAUGACAUUAUACUCAAAAUGGCCAUACCUUGUACGGAACGCUGUCUUCCACUCAUCUCCUUCCUUGAUUUGUACGAGGUUGUAAGCUCUCCUUAGAUCAAUUUUCGUAAAGAUCCUUGCACGUCCAAGUUGUUCUAAGAGACCAAAAAUCAAGGGUAACCAAUAAUGAUUCUUCUUUGUUACCUUGUUGAGGCCUCGAUAGUCCACGCACAUCCGCAACGAGCCAUCUUUCUUCUUCACAAAUAAGAUGGGUGCUCCAACUGACGAUUUUGAAUGAUGGAUGAAGUUCUUGGCUAGAUUCUCAUCGAUAAACUUCCGCAACUCUGCCAACUCCAUCUGCGAUAGAUUGUAGAUUGGGCCAAAAGGCGAUUGUGCUCCUUCCUGUAAGUCUAUGGCGCAAUCAUAUGGUCGGUGUUCUGGUAGCAUGUGAGCAUUCUUCUUUUAAAACACGUCUUUAAAAUCCUUAUAUUGCUCAGGUAUACUUGUUAUCGAGAUCUUCUCCCCGGUAGUUGGAGCCACAUAAAUGACAAACGGUGUGCCUUCCUUGGACGAUCUUAUAAAUGCUCUUGCUCCAAUGAAUAAAGAUUUCUCUAUUCGGGGUUUUCUACUAGGCUUACUCUUGGGUGGUUUUGUGGGAAAGGUCAUCUUCUGCAACCUCCAAUCUAUGGAUGGGUUAUGCUUUUCCAACUAGGAAAGACCAAGAAGAACAGGAUUUGAUGGGGUUCUAAUAAUAUUAAAAAUAAUAUGACUACUAUGGUCCUUAAUCGUCACUUCUAUAGGUUCUGAUUCAUGGGUGAUACUACCAGACAAUAAAGGUCGUCCAUCUAUGACCUCAACGUGAACAUGUUUGGAUUUUUGUAGUAAAGGGAUUUUAUGACGCUUCGCAAAUUCUUCGUCUAAGAAACAAGCAGAUGCUCCUGAAUCUAAUAAUGCUAAGGUUCUCAGUUUUUGAGGGCCAAUAAACAAAGGGAUUGUAAACAAAGGGCAGGUUGAGUAGAAAGAAAGGAACCUGGUUGUUGUUGCGAUAUUUCACUAUCCAGCCGCACGGUUCCUAUUGUGGCUAGGCAUCCUCGUUUUUCUGAACUAACGCGCCCCUAGUCCUGACAAUACGUCGAUUUUGCUUCUUGGGAUAGUUUCCAACUUUGUGGCCUUCUUCACCGCAAUAAAAGCAUAGACCUUCCUCCAUGCGUCGCUUCUUUUCUUCUAGAGUAAGAGAUUUGACACAAACUGCAUGAAUUUGCAUGUCUUCUACCUUUGAAUGUGAAUUCACGCUGCUUACCGAUAUAGUUGGGGCAUGGUGAACCGUAUGUUGUCUUGAACAUUGGUCUUGGCGGCGUUGGAAUAGGAGAUUAUCACACUUCACAGCUUGGCUAAUAGCUUCGUUGAGCGUUUGCGGAUCAGGAAGAGUUAACAGCAAAUCCUUCACAUUGUCCCUUAAAUUCCAAUAGAAUUGUCUCAUCAACGCUUCUUCAUCCCAAUUGAUGUCGCAUGCUAAUUACCUGAAGUCCGAUGCAUAGACCGAUGUAGAGCGCAUCCCUUGUCGUAGUGACCGGAUCUUUGUUAUAGUCCAUCGAAUCUUGUCAUGUUCUCGGGGCUUCUUAUGUUGUAAAACCAGUGGUGCUUGUCGAACCUGAGGCAAAGUUGCUUCUCCAAGUGCAGAAGUUUGAGGCUGGUGCAACCUAGAUUGUGCCAUCCCAGAUGUUCCAUCAUUAUGAAGCCUUGCCAUGACUCCUUCAAUCUCUACAGUUCUUUGUGAUAAUGUAGCGAGGGCAUUCAUGAUAGCAUCCAGCUUGGACUCCGAACUUUCCGUCAUACUAAUGUCUUGGCCUCCUGCUAUUCUAAGAGAAGGAUAGAAAUGACUCUACAAGAAGACAAUAUUGGUUUAGAGGAGGGUACUCCGCAACCUCUAAAUUGCCUUAAGAGUUUUAAGAAAUGGGGUAAUCCACUCUCUCCAAGAAAAAUAAGACUCCAAUAUUGUAACUAAAGAAGUAUCAGUUUAGAGGAGGGUAAUCCGCAACCUCUAAAAUGCUAGUACACUUCCAAGCAGAGGGAUAAUCCGCACUCUAACGAGGAAGAAACUAGCUCUGAUAUCUGAGGUGAAUGAAGUCUCGACAAACUGUUAUGGACACAAAAAUAUAGACUCGAGAUCUAAUAAGAAGUUCAAGAAGAACUGGCAAGAACUAGAUUAAUCAGAUGAAUACAAGAACAACACCAGAGAGGUGAGCUAGAACUCCAAGAGAUGUGUUGUCGAGACUAAAGAACUCUUCAGCCUCGAUUCCAAUAUAUACUCCUAUUUAGGAAGCUUCUCAAGCAACUUCUACCAACUAGGAAGCUUCUAGAAGGUUCCAGAGACUUGCUUUUAGAAGGUUCUAGAAACUUAUCUCUAGAAUGUUCUAAGUACUAUGUCCCUAACAUCUUCUAUCACUAAGAAGCUUCUAGAAGGUUCCAGAGACUUACUUCUAGAAGGUUUUAGAAACUUGUCUCUAGAAGGUUCUAAGGACUAUGUCUCUAACAGAAAUAUAUAUUUAUAUAUAUAUAUAUAUACAUAUACAUAUAUAUUAGAAGUUAUUGAUCAUUAGAGAUGUGCAAAAAAAAAGGUAUAUAUAUAUAUAUAUAUAUAUAUCUAUAUUAGAGGUAGGAUAUAUAUAUAUAUAUAUAUAUAUAUAUAUAUAUAUUAGAAGUUAUUGAUCAUUAGAGAUGUGCCAAAAAAGAAGGUAUAUAUAUAUAUAUAUAUGUAUUAGAAUUUAUUGGUUGAAGGUAGGAUAGAAAACAUCCUUAUUAAAGCUUUAUAAUCUAGGUUGUUUAUUUCCACAAUGGCAACCACGUGGGAUUGCCUCACCUUUUAAAAUAAUUUUAGAUUAAAUAUUUUUUUUGGAAAAUAUUUUUUGACUUUAUGUAUGUAUAUAUAUAUAUAUAUAUAUAUAUAUAUAUAUAUAUGUAUUAGAUAUUGCUAAUACCGCUACAAUUUUUGCUAGUACCUCCACAAUCCACUAUCUACUUGAAUUUUUUUUUUUGGUUUUUUUAGUUUAGUUUUAGUUUAAUAAUAUAUAUAUAUAUAUAUAUAUAUAUAUAUAUAUAUAUAGUUUUUUUAGUAUUUUAUUUUAUUUUAAUUUAUUUUUAUGGUAGAAGUAGAAAAUUUGGUAUAUGCAAUACUAUUUAUAUAUAUAUGUAUAUAUAUAUAUAUAUAUUUAUAAAAUUAAUAAAAUUUAUUGAAAAUUUAUAUUUUUAAUUAUUUUUAAUGUAAUUUUUAAAAAACUUAUAAAAAAAAUAUUCAACAAGAUUCUAAUCUUAAUAGAAUAAAAAAGUCACAUGCUACAUGCACACCUUAAGUUGCUACAUGUACACUCUAAGUUACAAAACAUAUAUUCUAAUUUGCUUUAUAGACAUUGUAAACUACUAUAUAUGCCAAAAUUAGGAAGUUGGGAAGGAAGUCUAAGACUUAUGGCAGGACAAGGAGAAAGGGGAGGAGAUUGGAGACUUAUACCAAGAUAAGGAAGAGAUGGAGGAGAUUUCAAACUUAUACUAAGGCAAAGAAGAGGAAGAGGAGGUUCAAGUCUCACUCUAGAAUUGAAAUUCAUGCCAAAACAAAGAAGAGUGGUAGAAAUUUUGGAGCUUAUACCAAGACAAGGAAGAAGAGCAAGAAGUCUAAGACUUAGUGAACAAUAAGCCAUGAGUGGUCAAUUACCAAUUAAUUUAAUGAACUAGCUAGUUAGAUGCCUAUAUUUUCUUGGAUGUACAAAUAGUAAUUUGAAGAGUGUGUAGCAACUUAGAAUGUGUGUAUAGCCUAAUUCAAUAUAUAUAUAUAUAUAUAUAUAUAUAUAUAUAUAUGUAAGUGAUAUUAUUUUUAAGCACUUAAUUUUUAUUUAAGAUUUAUUUAUUUUAUGACUUAUAAAGUAUGUUGUAUUUUGGUGUUCCUAUAAGAUGGUAAUGUUAUGCUUGAAUAUAGUUAUUUUUUGAUAUUUCUUUUGAAUUUCUUUAAAAUAAAUAAUUCAUGUUCAAAGAACCAAAUUAAUUUUAUGUGAAAAUUAUAUUCGAUUAUAUAACAUAUAUUAAUUUUUUUUAUCAUAUAGUAAUAUUUUAUAAAAUUAUGGAUGUUGAAUUCCUCUUUUGUUUUGGAAAAAUUCUAUAUUUAUAAAUUUUUUGAUAUGAGAUAUAUCAAUAAUAUAAAAAAUUAUUUUUGAAAAAAUAAUUAAAAUAGAUUAUAAUUAAAUUAUCUAAAAUUAUAAUAUAAAAAAUAUUUUAUUUAAUAAUAAAUUAUAAUUAUUAUUUUAAAUAUUAUUAAAAUAUCUUUAAAGAAUUUUAUUUGAAAAAUAAAAAAAUAAUGUGGAUUAAAUAUUUUCUUAUUUGACAAUUGUAUGUAUAAGGCUAAUAAAUAUUUUUGGGGAUAAUUUUAAUUAAAUUUAAUAAUUAAUUUUAUUAAUAAAAUAUUCCAUAAAUAUCCAUAAUAGUAAAAAUUAUUACGUUUAUAAUUAUUUAUUUUAAAAAAUUACAAUAAAAGCUAUAUACUUUUAAUAAUAUAUUUUUUUAUUUAUUUAAAAUCACAUAGAAUUAUGUUUAGUUUCUCAAUAUUUGUUUUGUUAUUUUUAUGAUCUUUCUUUCAACAUAUCUCAUCUUUUAAAUCUUUAAUUGUCUUUGUAGUAGGAUGGUCUUCAUGUAAAAUCCACACAAAAUUAAUCAAAUUGUUGAGAUCUUUGUAAAUUUUUAUUAUAGAGAUAUGAUUUAUGUAUGAAAAAACUUCAAGAGUUUAAAAACUAAAAUGAAAGAGAUUUAUUUUAUAUCACAAGUAAGAAUUGCCAAUAAGAUAUAAAAAUAAGAUCAAACGAUAUAAGCUAAGCCAUAAGAAUUGUAUUGUCAAAAUUGAGGAUCCCUUUAGCCUUAAUUCCUAUAUAUAUACUAGGUCUAAAGAAGCUUCUUGAGAAGUUUUCUUGAUAUUGAGAGGCAAAACAAGCUUCAAACAACCUUCUAUGACCAUCUUGUAGCUUUAAUUGUCUUCUUGGUCUUAGACACUUUUAUCAUCUACAAUAUCAUAUCAAUAGUAUUGUGCCAAGAAAAAAACUCAAUUGUUCUUUUCAACUUUGGAAAAUGAUUGUGCAAUUGUAACUUUACUAUUAAAAUUGAAGAUAAUUUGGAAAAUAAUCAAAUUUGUUAAUUAUUUGUCAAUCUUAGAUUAGAAAAUCAUGACUAAUUUGCUUCAUCAAUUACACCCUUUGAUUCUAUGGCAAACUUCACCAUUUCUAUAUAAAUUAUAUGAAGAGUAUUUUUUUUUUUUUUUUUGUGUCAAAAAUCUUCAAUGUAUUACAUUUUCUUGUAUUUAAAUCUUUUGUAUUCAAUCUUAUAAUAUACAAUGAAAAAAUGUAAGGAUUAAAAAAAUGAUAAAUAUUCUACAUUAAUCAAAGUUGCUUCUAUGGCUUGAGCCAUGUGUGAUAUGGUUAGCAAUGUUCUCUCUUCUCCAAGUAUUGUCAUGCGUUUAUUUUUGAAAUUAAAAAAAUAUAUUCUACCUUCUUUCUUAAGUUUCUUUCAUUCAUUGGUAGCAAGAAUCAAACUUACCACAAUAUGUCCCUUUAAAGCUAUAAUAACUUCUAUAUGAAUUUGUCAAUAGAUGUCUAUUUUUUACAACUAAUUAGUAUGGUUAUCUAUCUGAUGUCUAUAAGUUUUAAGUACCUUAUGCUUUAAAUGCUUUUGCAACAAUUCAAAGCCAUAUUACUCAAUAAAAGUAGAAAAAUAUUGACAUUUCUUUUUUAUCCACAAUUUAAACUUAAGCUUCCAAUAUGACAAAAAAAUACCACUAAUACAUUUAAAGAAUCAAUCUUGCACUAAGCUAUAAGGAUUGUUAUCUAUUUUUUAAAAUAUGCCUAGAGUCUAAAGCCAAAAUCUAAAAUUGAUAUUUAAUACCAAAAUAUAUUUAAAUGUCUUAUUGAUAUCUAAUUCUAGCUCAAAAUUUCUAUUAGAAUUUAUUUUUUGAGUAGUUUAGUGAAGAAAAUUAAUAAUAUUGAUUCUUAGUUUGUACCAUAAACUUAAUUUCUAGAAAUAUAAAAUUAUCUAAAGAUUAAAGACGAUUUGCACUUGCAAUCACCACCAAAGUUUGUAGUACAUUGGUCAUGACCUCCAACUACUACAAUUUCAAUAAUCACCCUACAAAAAGGUCUUAUUAGCAAUGAAUUUGACCUCAUCCUUACAAUAUCCUAUUACAAAUUAGUAUAAUACUUUAAACCUUAAGCAAUCAUAUUUUCCAUCUGUAAAAGUACCAAAAUCAUAAUCAAAAAACUAAUAUUAUAUAAUUUUUUUAAUAAAAUAAAAAAUUAAUUAAAAGGAGAUGCUAUUAAAUCUUUGAUGUCAACACUUCAAAACAUAAAACUUGUGAUUACUAGAAUAACUUAUUAAGCAACAUCUAAUGCAAUAUUAAUCCCUUGAUUCUUAAAAUUUAAAAUUUUUAAAAUCUUUGGUGUUAAAAAAUAAAAUUUAGUUCUAAAAAAAACAUAUUUAAUUGAAAAAAAUGAAAAAAUUCUAAAUAAUUUUAUAAUUUUUUUUUGAAAAUCUUAUAUAAAAUAGAUUUUAUAUUUAUUUAAUUUAAAGCUAAAUUAUUUUAAAAAUUAUAUUUAAAAUAUUUUUUUAGUUCUAAAAUAUAUAUUUUAAAAAAAAUUAGAAUAUAUAAAUGUUUAGAUCUCUAAAUUUAUAAAAAUUUUAAGAUUUUUAAAACCUAAAAAUGUGAAGAUUACUAAAAUCUCAUAUCUAGUUGACAUUUUGAGGUCAAAGUCUAUGUUUGUUUGCAGCCCUUACAUUGUACGCCUUGCAAUUAUUUGAGCAUAUUUAGUCAUUAACCUUACAUCAAUCAAUUGUUAUUCUAAUAUAACAUGUUGUGCCAUUAUUUAUUUAUAUUAAUUUUUAUUAUUUAUUUAUUUAUUUUUGAUAUAGGUAUUUUAUAAAAUUUGAAAUUUUUUAUAUGCAUUUACACUCUUUAAUUCUCCCAUGGUACAAUCAGAGACAAUUGACUUAUGUUUUGAUUACUUAUUUCUCACUUAAAAAUAUUUUUUCUUAUUUUAUUUAUUUAUUUAUUCAUUCCUUCUCAUUUUAUAUUCUAAUAAAUCAUAAUCCUUUAUCAUCUUAUUUUUAUAUAUCUUUUUAUAGAAUAUUUCUUUUCAUCUUAGACUUGAGUUGCAUAGGAAUUAUAUAAGCUUUCUAAAAUAUUCAUAAUUUUGUAGAUUAUUUUAUCUUUUAAAUAUUUUCUUUAAAAUUUUGGAUUUUUUUAUCUAUUUUAUUAUUUUUUAUUUGAUAGAUAAAUUUAUUUAUCCAAAAUUUGAAAAUAUAAUAAAAAUAUUAUGGACAUAUAUAUUUACUCAAAUAAUUAUUUAGAUAUUAUGAAUCAGUAAAAUUAAGUUAAUUUGAUAAUACCUUAUAGGAA
rnacentral:lncRNA from 1 species